AUGGCCCGCUUCGCCGUCGUCGCCGCCAUCGUGGCCCUCCUGGCCGUCACCGCCGCCGCGCAGGCCCCCGGAGCGGCGCCCAGGAUGGCGCCUCUCCCCGCACCGCCGGCGAGGUCCCCGGCCACCGCGCCUGCGCCGGUCGCCACGCCGCCCACCGCCGCGUCGCCGUCCCCGCUGGCCUCUCCCCCGGCCCCGCCCACCGACGCCCCGACCGACGCUCCCUCCGCGAUGCCCCCGUCCGCGGUCUCCGGCACACCCGAGGGCGCACCUGCCGCUGCCCCCAGCGGCACCCCCGCCAGCUCCGCCGUCUACACGUCCUCCGUCAGCUUCGUCGCCGUCGCCGGCGCGGUCGCCGCCGCCAUCGUGUUCUAG
rnacentral:rRNA from 1 species